AAUCAAGAUAUCAGCUUAUACUGGUAUACAUGGCUUCAUUCUCUUGGGCAAGAUUUAUUUAUUUUAUUAUAAUGAUCGUUAUUAUACUGCAGUUCGUUUUAAGCCAUGCAGUUGCAGGGAAAGCUGCGAGAGAUCCAGGUGACAGACAUCCUCCUUCUCGACCCGGGCCUGGCCCUGGACCAAGAGAUCAUGACGGUGCACCUAUAAUUAAUAAUGGCCCAUAAGUCAUGAUUUACAAGAUCCUAGCUCGAAGGAUAGAAAUCGAUUUAUGACACAAAAUGGAUCAUCAUUUCACACAGAGCCAGUUAAUUACUUCGGUGUUGGUUAAGAUAUAUUAAAUAUUGCAUUUUUCUCUUCCCAUUUGUAUUGAGUUUACAUGUUUUUGGUUGUAUUGAUAUUAACUGUUGAAAUAAUAGAGAGCAAAUAAUAAAGAGCAAAUAUUAAAUUUGUUAUUGUAUCAUAUCAAUUAGGUUUCAUACUUCUCUGAGAUCCUAUUGACUGAUUAAUAAUUUAUGUAUAUUAUAUAAUGAGAAAAUAGAUUAUUUUUUUUACCAUCCAACUUAUUAUUUAUUUAGAAUCCUACCACUGAACUAUAAUUUUUUUCUUUUUUGUCAUUAAUGAUAGGUUCGGAUUUUUUUAUUUUUUUUUAACGUAGGAACCCGCAGCCGCUACCCUUCGGGUGCGCACUGGAUAAACCCACGAGCUCACGCAAUAGCCUGCAAACUACGUGAACCAAGGUAAACCAUCCAGGAGGCAUAAUCACAAAUUCUGCUCCCUUCGGGAGUCGAACCUGUGACCAAGAGGAUACAUGUCCAAGGUAAACCAGGUAAACCGCACCGUGCGCACUGGAUAAACCCACGAGCUCACGCAAUAGCCUGCAAACUACGUGAACCAAGGUAAACCAUCCAGGAGGCAUAAUCACAAAUUCUGCUCCCUUCGGGAGUCGAACCUGUGACCAAGAGGAUACAUGUCCAAGGUAAACCAGGUAAACCGCACCUAAGCGCGACAGACUCUGAUCCAGGAUGCAUAAUCACAAAUUCUGCUCCCUUCGGGAGUCGAACCUGUGACCAAGAGGAUACAUGUCCUCUCUUUAACCAGCUGAACCAACCCUUGCGGGCAGGUUCGGAUUUUUUUUGUCACUAGUGCUCCUCCUACGUAGUUUAUGAGAGUUUGAAAUUGGCAUGUCCGAAAACAGAGACCAGUCUGGACUAGCCAAAUACUUUGACCCCAAGUCCAAAUGUUGCAGCUUCUGAAGAUGACUAAUUUGGUAAGGAAUGGUACCAUUUAUAUAAUUGUCGUAAAAGCUCAAGUACUGAAGCUCUGCCAGGUCUCCAAUCCCUCCCGGUAUAACAUCUGACAGCAAGUUGUGACUCAUGUCCAAAGCACUGAGGUUCGGAAAUGAACUGAAACUGAAGUGAGCAAGUGUUCCAUUAAGGUCUUGACCAGAAACAUUGAGCUUCGAAACUGUUCCUGCAGAAUUGCAGGUAAUGCCAGUCCAGUUACAAAGGUUUUCGAGAUGGCUUGAGGACCAAGAACUGAGGGAAGCAGCUGGUAAUAAACUGCUCUUCCAUUUGACAAGUGCUUCUGCCUCAGUUCUUGGUGAUGAUGUUAGAAUUUGUGGAACUACUGAGAUGAAAAGAACACUCAGCAGUGAAAAAACUAGUGGACUGUGAAGUAAGGCCAUUAGUGUUGGUUUAUAUUUGGUUGGAAUCUAGUACUCCCUCCGUCUCACCCAAUUCUUUACCCUUUCCUUUUUGGGAUGUCUCAUCCAAUUUUUUACAUUUCAAAACUUACCAAAAAUAGUCAAUGGUCCCACCACUUCUCCACUUUUCUUUCUUUUUCACACUACUUUUACUCCACUAUCUUCUUUUUAUACAUUAAAAAUCAAUGAGUCCCACCACUUUACUCACUUUUCUUCCUCUUUUCCACUACUUUAUACAUAUUCCUUAACCUCCGUGCCCAACCCAUUUAAUAAGAAAUGGGUGGGACGGAGGAAGUAAGAUUUUCUGGGAUUUAUAGUAGUGUACCUAAUGUUAGGCCAAAAAUGUAAAUUAUUUCUUUGUGGAAAUAACAUUACACUAGCUUGACUUUACAGUCAGUCGUCAUAAGUGAAGUAACGGAGCAAUUUCUGAACAUGUCAAAAAUCAACGAAAAUUCUGCUUUAUAGAUCUUUAUGUCAUUACAAACAUUGAUUUAUUAAGCACCGUUCAGAAACUUCUGAUGUUGACAUUACAAAAGCAACGACUUCUCACUUUAGAUUUUCUGAACAUGGAAAAAUCACUCACCGUUCCCGGAUCUCGAAUUUCGACCACUUUGUGUUAUCAUGGGAAAAUUAAUAGAAAGUCCUGACC